rnacentral:RNase_P_RNA from 1 species
UUAAGUGGGUGCAUGAUCGCUGGUCGUCUUGAACGGCCAGAGGAAAGUCCGAACUCCGCAGGGCAGGGUGGUUCAUAACAUGAACCGGGGGUGACCCCGGGAAAGUGCCACAGAAAAGAUACCGCCCCCUCGGGGGUAAGGGUGAAAAGGCGAGGUAAGAGCUCACCGCCCUGGUGGUGACAUCAGGGGCAGGGCAAACCCCACCCGGAGCAAGACCAAAUAGGAAGGCGUUAAGGGCUGCCCGCUCGUGCCUUCGGGUAGGUUGCUUGAGAUGCCGGGCGACCGGCAUUCUUAGAGAAAUGAUCAUGGCCGGCCCUUGGGCUGGUACAGAAUUCGGCUUAUAGCCCACUUUUUUUU